GGCAUUGGCCAAGCUCUCCUCAUGGUGAUGUACAGAACAAUCAAGUCACAUUUAUUCCUGACAGGACUGAACCAGUAGGCAGAAAGAAGCUUCAUCUCUGUUCGUUUGAGGAUGUUAUCCCAGGGAAGGCAGUUCUAGAUUGCAGAGAAAUUUGCUUUGGGAGAUUUUGAAUACGUGAAUGUGUGAACGGAUGACAAAAGCCCCUCACAGAUUAAUCAACGCUAGAGGUCAUGCCAGAAGUUAUUGGAAAGGCAAGACCCUUCAACUACACCGCUCUUUGUGCAACUCCACUGUUGGUAACCAAGAAUGCACACGAGGUGAAACUGUGCCUGUCCUUCCAUGUGACUUCUGACAAACUGAGACAAGUGAAGGGAGAUGUGAAACUUUAAGGAAAGGGGAAAAUGGGAGUCAGUUCAAAUGCUGAAUGAGUGGGUCAUGUUGCCUCAUUCUUGCUCAUUUGUUACCAUCUGAUGACUCAGCAUCACAAGGGGAAUAGUGACUCUGCAAUUCUUGUAAACCCUGUGUAAUAAUUCCUUCCACAUAUCAAAAGGUGGUAGUGGGGGGUUCUUCUAAAACAGCUAAAACUAGUUUGACAUGUAACUUUACAUCCUGCUUACAUGUUGUGCACAGUUUGUGGUUUUCUCCUACAAUGUGGAAUGCUAGAAUAUACCAAAAUGUGGACAUCUUUUUUUCUGGAUGCAAAAACAAAAAAAACAUGCAAAAAUUAAUUCUUUA